AGACGACGCUGGCGGCGUGCCUAACACAUGCAAGUCGAACGGGGUGAUUUCCUUCGGGAGAUCACUUAGUGGCGAACGGGUGAGUAACGCGUGGGUAACCUGCCUUAUACAGGGGGAUAACACUUAGAAAUAGGUGCUAAUACCGCAUAAGCGCACAGUAUCGCAUGAUACAGUGUGAAAAACUCCGGUGGUAUAAGAUGGACCCGCGUCUGAUUAGCUAGUUGGUGAGGUAACGGCUCACCAAGGCGACGAUCAGUAGCCGGCCUGAGAGGGUGAACGGGCCACAUUGGGACUGAGACACGGUCCAAACUCCUACGGGAGGCAGCAGUGGGGAAUAUUGCACAAUGGGCGAAAGCCUGAUGCAGCAACGCCGCGUGAGCGAUGAAGGCCUUCGGGUCGUAAAGCUCUGUCCUCAAGGAAGAUAAUGACGGUACUUGAGGAGGAAGCCCCGGCUAACUACGUG
rnacentral:rRNA from 1 species